UGGGGAAUCUUCCGCAAUGGACGAAAGUCUGACGGAGCAACGCCGCGUGAGUGAAGAAGGUUUUCGGAUCGUAAAACUCUGUCUUUUGGGGCGAACGUGAGUAUGGUGAACAAUCAUAGUCAGUGACGGUACCAAAGGAGGAAGCCACGGCUAACUACGUGCCAGCAGCCGCGGUAAUACGUAGGUGGCAAGCGUUGUCCGGAAUUAUUGGGCGUAAAGAGCGCGUAGGCGGGAUAGUCAGUCUGUUGUAAAAGUGCGGGGCUCAACCCCGUGAUGGCAAUGGAAACAGCUAUUCUUGAGUGCAGGAGAGGAAAGUGGAAUUCCCAGUGUAGCGGUGAAAUGCGUAGAUAUUGGGAGGAACACCAGUGGCGAAGGCGACUUUCUGGACUGUGUCUGACGCUGAGGCGCGAAAGCCAGGGGAGCGAACGGGAUUAGAUACCCCGGUAGUCCUGGCCGUAAACGAUGGGUACUAGGUGUGGGGGGUAUCGACCCCUUCCGUGCCGGAGUUAACGCAAUAAGUACCCCCGCCU
rnacentral:rRNA from 1 species